GACGAACGCUGGCGGCGUGCUUAACACAUGCAAGUCGAACGGAAAGGCCCUGCUUUUGUGGGUUGCUCGAGUGGCGAACGGGUGAGUAACACGUGAGUAACCUGCCCUUGACUUUGGGAUAACUUCAGGAAACUGGGGCUAAUACCGGAUAGGAGCUCCUGCUGCAUGGUGGGGGUUGGAAAGUUUCGGCGGUUGGGGAUGGACUCGCGGCUUAUCAGCUUGUUGGUGGGGUAGUGGCUUACCAAGGCUUUGACGGGUAGCCGGCCUGAGAGGGUGACCGGCCACAUUGGGCCUACGAUACGGCCCAGACUCCUACGGGAGGCAGCAGUGGGGAAUAUUGCACAGUGGGCGGAAGCCUGAUGCAGCAACGCCGCGUGCGGGAUGACGGCCUUCGGGUUGUAAACCGCUUUCGCCUGUGACGAAGCGUGAGUGACGGUAAUGGGUAAAGAAGCACCGGCUAACUACGUG
rnacentral:rRNA from 1 species